UCGGCCUACGGGGGGCAGCAGUAGGGAAUUUUCGUCAAUGGGCGCAAGCCUGAACGAGCAAUGCCGCGUGAACGAGGAAGGUCUUCGGAUCGUAAAGUUCUGUUGAAGGGGAAAAAGAGCGGAGAGAGGAAAUGAACUCCGAUUGACAUUACCCUUCGAGGAAGUCACGGCUAACUACGUGCCAGCAGCCGCGGUAAUACGUAGGUGGCGAGCGUUAUCCGGAAUGAUUGGGCGUAAAGGGUGCGUAGGCGGCCUGCUAAGUCGGGAGUGAAAGGAAC
rnacentral:rRNA from 1 species